CACGUAGGGUGCGAGCGUUGUCCGGAAUUAUUGGGCGUAAAGAGCGCGCAGGCGGUCGUUCAAGUCGCGUGUGAAAGCCCCCGGCUCAACUGGGGAGGGUCACGCGAUACUGAUCGACUCGAAGGCAGGAGAGGGUAGUGGAAUUCCCGGUGUAGUGGUGAAAUGCGUAGAUAUCGGGAGGAACACCAGUGGCGAAGGCGACUACCUGGCCUGUUCUUGACGCUGAGGCGCGAAAGCUAGGGGAGCAAACGGG
rnacentral:rRNA from 1 species